rfam:Trichobilharzia regenti genome assembly, scaffold: TRE_scaffold0027463
AUCCAGAUGAAGAGUCCCCAACAGGACGAAAUGCGUGUUGUCCUGGAU